rnacentral:rRNA from 1 species
UACGUAGGGGGCAAGCGUUGUCCGGAUUUACUGGGCGUAAAGAGCGCGUAGGCGGAAGGUGAAGCGUGGCCUGAAAGCCCCCGGCUCAACCGGGGAAGGCGGCUGCGAACUGGCCUUCUUGAGGGCGAUAGAGGGGGGCGGAAUUCCUGGUGUAGCGGUGAAAUGCGUAGAGAUCAGGAGGAACACCCGUGGCGAAGGCGGCCCCCUGGGUCGGCCCUGACGCUGAGGAGCGAAAGCGUGGGGAGCGAACAGG